rnacentral:lncRNA from 1 species
UGUACUAUGUCGCCACUGACAGAGAUGUAACCUCUGCAGGGUUGUGAGAUGGAGGGAGGAGGACAAUUAAUGAAUCAGGAAUUGCAGAGGAUUAGUCAGGAGGAAAUGAGGGUAGCAAUGAAGAGGAUGAGGACUGGAAAGGUUCAGGUGACAUAAGUGUGGAGAUAUGAAUAUGUCUGAGAGAGAGGGCAGUGGACCUUCAGCAGAUUAUUUAAACAUGAUCCUGCAGAGUGAAGUUUACUGGUACUGAUUUUCUAGAACAAGCGUGAUGUGCACAGCUGUGGUAACCACAGAGGGAUUAAACCACCAUAAAUCAGAGAGCAGUGUCUCUGAUCCUCACUCUGAUUGGCAGUUGUACUUUGACCUUUAACCUCUCUGGUCUGUGUUGUUUCAUCUUCAGACCAGAAAAGCAUCACAGCUGAGUUUGGACACAAUAUCACUCUGCCAUGUCGAUCUCCAGACAAGGACAUCCCCAUUAUCGUUGUAGAGUGGAGCAGAGCUGACCUGGAAGAUGAAUAUGUGCUUAAUUACAGGGAUGAGCAGUUUGAUCCAGAUUACCAGCAUCCAUCUUUUACGAACCGGGUGGAUCUGCAGGACAGAGAGAUGAAAGAUGGAGGCGUGUCUUUGAUUCUGAACAAUGUGACGAUCAAGGACACUGGAACAUACGAGUGGGUGUUGUCCAGGGAGUGGAAGGACCUGUGAUUCUAAUCAACAUCAUCUACCUGAGUGUUGUUGAUCCUCCAGGUCAGACAGGAGGAGACACAGAGGAUGGAGGGAAGGAGGAUGGAUCUGUUGGACUCAUCACUGGUCUCUCAGUUUCUGCUGCACUUCUUGUUGUUGUUGCUAGUUUCAUGAUUUACAGAAAAUGUAAUCCACAGAACGGAGGUUCAUACCAACCUGUUUCUGCAAUCUCCCGCUGCUGGUCCAACUUUCCAGAUUCUGCUGUAAAUGCCUUCAGUAAAGGUGGAUUGGUUUAAUGUUGAGCUAUCUCUCUGGCUUUUUUGUUUUUUUGUUAUUUAUUGUCCAAUAGCUGUUCUUCUACAGCAGUGCAGGUCAGGUCUAAAGUGUAGAACAGCUGCUUAGAGUUGUAUUUGUUGUAUACACCGUCUCUUAAAUUGUUACUGUCUAUGUAAAUAAGUUAAUAUUCCAGAAAUACUGUUUAUAUUUGUGUGUUCAGUCAAAUAACAUAGUAGAGUGAUGCAGUUAUAUUACAUUAAGGUUUCUUUGUAUCUAGAAGAGGGCUGUAGAGUUUUGCUGUUUUUCUUUUUCUGUAUUUUGCUGCCCUCUGACUCAUGGACAAUAGAGGGCAGCAACUGGUAAACUGACGUUGUUUAGUACUUUUUUGUUUAAUAAUUUCUUAUAUUUUGAGUCUUUUUACUAUAUUUUGAUGUUGGACUGAUCAUUGGUCGGCAGUUCUGAAGGCAAAAGGGAGUCCAACUCAGUACUAGCAAAGUGUACCUAAUAAAGUGGCUAACAAUGAACAUUAACAUAGAUAGAUCAAAAAUCUGAACACGUUUCUGCUUUUAUGUGUUGCAUUAAGUUGCAUUCAGUACCUGUAAAAAUCAUGUGUAACAGGCUUUUAUUGUAAAGAGCUGAGCACUCCUGAUCCUGUAUGAUGUCCCUGAGCGGGUUGGACUUGAUGUGAGACCAGCUGUGAACAUCAGGUGUGAACAAACCUGUAAAAAGUAUUUACAGAAGACAUUUUAUGAAGCUUGUAUUUGUUAGUAUGAAGUUUCCUCCAUAUCAGAUGUGAAACAGCUGCUGCACAUUCAUAAAGUGGAGUUUUUACGCUUUCAGUGGCGCAGACUCAGAGUUGGAGAGUGUUGUAGCACUCCAGUGCCAGUAGAGGGCAGCAAGAGAACAGUUUAUUCCAUUAACAAUUGGUCUGAAGGUUAAGAGCAGAUGAGCUUCAGUGCACUAACUUGAAACUAAAUCCAGAACUCACUUUUUUUGCUAAAUCAGCUUCUGAUUAAAGAACAGGCUUUAAAAAAAAUGCUAUUUAAACUAGACUUAUUACAGUGUUAUGAAUUUAAAUCCAUGGAUGUUUGUGAAAGUGUGAUGUGUUUUUAUGUGACAUCAUGAUUUAAAAUUCAGUGAAGACAAACACUAAUGAGCAUGUGCAGUGGGCUACAUACUGGAGAAACAGAAGCAGAACAGUUAUGGUUUAGUCUACUGUCCACGUGUCACAAUAGUGCCUUAUAGUUCAAGACCAGUGUGAGAUUAAUAAUAAUAAAAUAAUGAAUGUUAAAACUGAGGUGCCUUUGAUGUGUUUAAUGUCAGUUUUGUUAUGAAGAAUGCAUCACAGGAGUUCAUGUGAGAAAAUCAAACACAUUGUACAUAAAGGAAGUUUAUUAGUGCUGCAAAGAAUUUCGUUUACAUCAAAAAAUGAUUUGCAUUCAUUAAAAUAAGUUUGACCUUGAAAGGUGAAUUUGUAUGAUACUAAUCUGAGUAACAAAUCCACAUGAACACAUGAUUACAAAUGACCUGUACUGCUGCUUCACAAGUAAUACUUUAAUAUUUAGGUCUUAAAUCGUGUUAAUUUCUUUGUUUAUUAAAUUACACAGUGAAACAGACAGUUUUAAGAGCUUACAGGCAAACAUCGCAUUCAUUAAAAGUACUUAAUUCUUUUCUAAACUUUAAAUGAGCACAUUAAAGAUUUUCUUAAACAUGGUGUCUGCUCUGAGACACUUUACGAAUUUGAGUCACACUUUUUACUCCACAAGUGUUUUUAUACCACAAAAAUCACAUGCCUUGAUAUGACUGUUAUUGUUGUUAUAUAAAACCUAUAUAAUAAAGCCUAUAAAUUAAAGAAAAUCAAUCUCCAACUUUUCUUUUCUGUUGUUGUGCUCAUAAAGUGUCUGAAUUUAAUUUGAAUUC